rnacentral:rRNA from 1 species
GACGAACGCUGGCGGCGUGCUUAACACAUGCAAGUCGAACGAAGUGGCGCACGGGUGAGUAACGCGUAAUCAACCCGCCCUUCAGAGGGGGACAACAGUUGGAAACGACUGAUAAUACCGCAUACUGAAGGAGGGGUUUGCGUCUGAUUAGCUAUUUGGAGGGGUAACGGCCUAAUAAGGCGAUGACCGGUAGCCGGUGUGAGAGGAUGAACGGCCACAUUGGGACUGGGACACGGCCCAGACUCCUACGGGAGGCAGCAGUGGGGAAUCUUACGCAAUGGACGAAAGUCUGACGGAGCAACGGCGCGUGAGUGAUGACGGCCUUCGGGUUGUAAAGCUCUGUUAAUCGGGACGCGGUACCGGAAUAGAAAGCCACGGCUAACUACGUGCCAGCCGCCGCGGUAAUUC